UGUGUCUACGGGACGCAGCAGUGGGGGAUAUUGCACAAUGGGGGAAACCCUGAUGCAGCGACGCCGCGUGGGUGAAGAAGCGCCUCGGCGCGUAAAGCCCUGUCAGCAGGGAAGAAAAUGACGGUACCUGAAGAAGAAGCCCCGGCUAACUACGUGCCAGCAGCCGCGGUAAUACGUAGGGGGCAAGCGUUAUCCGGAUUUACUGGGUGUAAAGGGGGCGCAGACGGCGAUGCAAGCCAGGAGUGAAAGCCCGGGGCCCAACCCCGGGACUGCUCUUGGAACUGCGUGGCCAGAGUGCAGGAGGG
rnacentral:rRNA from 1 species